GUGACCUCUGUGUGUGCCUGUGCAUAUUGUGUCAGGCAGUAGGGCUUUCUGAGGUCACAGGUGCCAUGGUGAUUACUGGGUCCUUGGAGAAGUUUCGAGGUGGUCAGGUGCUGUUGACUCCAUCCCUGUCCUUAGGGCAUCCACAGUUCCAUAGGGGUGACAGGACAGGACAGACAUAAUCAACUGUCUUUAGGGCACCACAGUUCCAUAGGGGUGACAGGACAGACUCAAACGUAAUCCACAAAAACACAUACUUACAAAAUUACAGCCUGGCUUUAAAGGGAAAAGGCAGACAAGAGAUUGUGCUACUGAUUGAAGAAGGGAGCGGAUGAGUCAGGAUUUCCAAGAGAAGGAAUUCAGUUUGGAGUUGAUACAGGUGGAAUUGGACGUUCAGCAAAGAGCUGGAAGUGUGACAAUGUUGCAGGUCCUUCUGCUUGUGCUAUGUGGGACACCCACCUCGGCAUGGCCUGAUGAGCGGUGCCAUGUCCAUGCCCAGGAUCUGAACCAGCAAAACCCUGGGCUGCCGAAGCGGGGCGUGCGAACUUACCCACUUGGCCACAGGGACAGCCCUCUGUUCUUCUUUUAACAAUUAUAUAUUGAACACCUACUGUAUGUCAAGCAGUGUUUUAGUGAGCAAAACAGACAAAAUCCCUGCUUUCAAUGAAGUGGUGGGAGACAGACAAGAAACAAACAAAUAUUUCAAUAUUCAUUUGUGAGAAGUACUGUGAAAAAGAAUAUAGCCAGGAUGGGAGCAGUGGGGCCGGCUAGGUCCCAGCCUCUGUGAGACACCGCCGGGGAAUCUUGCAGGCCGCAGAUCCAGGAGAGAACCAACGUCAUGGUUCAAGUCCGAAGGCAUCUGCUGUUGAAUUCCUCUUGCUCUGGGGAGAGGACCUGCCCAGGGAGCAGUUGCUAACUGUGGGCCCAGGUAGAAGAGAGCUGGAAGGAAGGAGGCCCACCCGCCUGAGAGCGCAGAGGCAGGGGUGGGAAGAGCUGGUGCUACACUCGGCUUCCUGCCAGCGGGCAGGCCUGCAGCAAUCGCCCUCUGCCCCUUGCCACCGGUGAUGCGGGUGCCUAACUCUGGGGCCAGCCAGAGGGCUUUGCUCUCUGCCUCUGCAGGAACACAACCCAACAGCGUUUACAGUGCAACCUCUGUGUGGCCAGCUUGCUCUCAGCCCUGGGGGACUGGAAGGGUGGGAUUUGGCAGCAUGAUCUGGGCCCUGCCCCCUCAGGAACUUCCAGUCUGCUGGGAGGGAGGUAAAGAAAUGCACCUGAAGCAGGAGCAAUUAAGUGGCACCAACGGUGCCUGCACAAGGGUUCCAGCGAUUGUUUGUUUAGGAGGCGGCUCUGUGAGUGACCCUAAGUCAAGAAGGCGUGCGCACAGGGCAGGCCAGCCCGGAGGUCCCCGAGGGCAGGGCCUCCCGCCUCCCAUUCUUUCGUGGUUCCCACAGUGCCCAGGGCCUGCUCGGCUCACAAUGAGCUUCAAUGCUCGCUUUUGACUGAACCUUUCCCCUUUGUAUCUGUCUCUGUGUCUCUCGGCAUCUCUGUCUCUACGAGUCUCUGGCUCUCUCUUGUUUCCCAACAUCCUUUCCGAGCCCCUGGGGAGCAGAGCUGGGGGGGCCAGGCAGUGGGAACGGGACAGCGUCCUGUUCUCACCACGGACAAUAAGGGCCGGAAAGGGCUGGAGCCAAGGCCUGGCGAGGACUCCCCCUCCCUGCGUGCCCUGGGCGCCCCCACCCCGGCUCUGACCCUCUGUCAUGCCCUAAAUGCCAGGCAUCCCCUCAUGCCAGUGCCAGUCUGAGAGGAGUCCAGCCUCUGUCCGGGCCGGGGACCCCCCUUAUCUCAUCUUCCCACUGCCCUCUUCUCAGGUGGCAUCACCUCCUGCCCCAAGCAGCGCGCCUCCCAGGCCAGGAACCUGUAGAGUGCCCUCCCCCACCAGCCUCCCUACUCGCAUCCCAGGCCACCACCCCCCAUAUUAUUUACUCCUGUUUCCGGAGCUGGCGGCGGGUGCCGGCGGGUGUCGGAGCCACGUGUGAGGGAGCAGGAGGAAACAUCUGGCUUCCCUCUGUCCUGCAGGGGUGGGACUGCCCCUAUCUCCCCCAGGCCUCCAGUCUCCGGGGUGGAGCAGAGCCCCAGGAGACCAGGGACCAAGAGGUUAGCACCUUUGCCCUUCUCACCUUCAGGUCUCCAGAAGCCUGCUG
ensembl:lncRNA